rnacentral:rRNA from 1 species
CAGGCCUAACACAUGCAAGUCGAACGAUGCUUUCGGGCAUAGUGGCGCACGGGUGCGUAACGCGUGGGAAUCUGCCCUUGGGUUCGGAAUAACCGUUAGAAAUGACGGCUAAUACCGGAUGAUGACGUAAGUCCAAAGAUUUAUCGCCCGAGGAUGAGCCCGCGUAGGAUUAGCUAGUUGGUGGGGUAAAGGCCUACCAAGGCGACGAUCCUUAGCUGGUCUGAGAGGAUGAUCAGCCACACUGGGACUGAGACACGGCCCAGACUCCUACGGGAGGCAGCAGUGGGGAAUAUUGGACAAUGGGCGCAAGCCUGAUCCAGCAAUGCCGCGUGAGUGAUGAAGGCCUUAGGGUUGUAAAGCUCUUUUACCCGGGAUGAUAAUGACAGUGAU